AUUGAACGCUGGCGGCAGGCCUAAUACAUGCAAGUCGAGCGGAUGAUGGGUGCUUGCUCCUGGCUUCAGCGGAGGACGGGUGAGGAAUGCCUAGGAAUCUGCCUGGGAGUGGGGGAUCACGUCCGGAAACGGGCGCUAAUACAGCAUACGUCCUGAGGGAGAAAGUGGGUGAUCUUCGGACCUCACGCUAUCAGAUGAGCUUAGGUCGGAUUAGCUAGUUGGUGGGGUACAGGCCUACCAAGGAGACGAUCCGUAACUGGUCUGAGAGGAUGAUCAGUCACAUGGGAACUGGACAACGGUCCAGACUCCUACGGAGGGCGGCGUAGGGGAACUUUGGACAUUGGGCGAAAUCCUGAUCCAGCCAGGCCGCGGGUGUGAGGAAGUUCUUCGAAUGUAAAAGCACGUUAUGAGAGGAGAAAAGGCAGGAAGGUAGUACCUUGCUGUUUUGACGGUACCAACAGAGAAAGCACCGGCUAACUUCGUG
rnacentral:rRNA from 1 species